CGCACGGGUGAGUAACGCGUAGGUAAUCUACCCUUAUAUUUGGGAUAACAGACCGAAAGGUCUGCUAAUACCGGAUACCCUUUUGGUUAUGCGAAUAACUUUGAGGAAAGGUGGCCUCUUCAUGAAAGCUACCGUAUAGGGAUGAGCCUGCGUACCAUUAGCUAGUAGGUGGGGUAACGGCCCACCUAGGCAACGAUGGUUAGCGGGUCUGAGAGGAUGAUCCGCCACACUGGAACUGGAACACGGACCAG
rnacentral:rRNA from 1 species